UUUAUUUUAUGUUUUUAUUGCUUUUAGAGAAGGAGAGGGAGAAACAUAGAUGAGAGCCAUCAAUCAGCUUCCCCUGCCCCCCGGAGAUCAAACCUGCAACCGGGCGUGUGCCCUAACUGGAAAUUGAACUGGUGACCUCUCUGUGUAUAGGGUGAUGUUCAACCAACUAAGUUACACUGCCCAGGGCAACACAGAAACUUUUGAAUGGAGUUAAAAGGGAAAAUAACACCAGUUGAGAACC